CCUACGGGUGGCACCAGUGGGGAAUAUUGCACAAUGGGCGCAAGCCUGAUGCAGCCAUGCCGCGUGUAUGAAGAAGGCCCUAGGGUUGUAAGUACUUUCAGUCGGGAGGAAGGCGUUGAUGCUAAUAUCAUCAACGAUUGACGUUACCGACAGAAGAAGCACCGGCUAACUCCGUGCCAGCAGCCACGGUAAUACGGGGGGUGCAAGCGUUAAUCGGAAUUACUGGGCGUAAAGCGCACGCAGGCGGUUGAUUAAGUUAGAUGUGAAAUCCCCGGGCUUAACCUGGGAAUGGCAUCUAAGACUGGUCAGCUAGAGUCUUGUAGAGGGGGGUAGAAUUCCAUGUGUAGCGGUGAAAUGCGUAGAGAUGUGGAGGAAUACCGGUGGCGAAGGCGGCCCCCUGGACAAAGACUGACGCUCAGGUGCGAAAGCGUGGGGAGCAAACAGGAUUAGAUACCCUUGUAGUC
rnacentral:rRNA from 1 species